UGAGAAUGCGCAUUUCUAACCGGUUCCCGGUUAAAGGCGCUGUUCAGGAAGACUCAGCUCUCUCCGCUCUUGGGCCUGGUGCUCCAGGAGGAGGGAAGAGGGUGCCCCUGGAGAGACGUGGCGCUCCCAUUUUACACCCUCCAGAUAGCUCUGGGGCCACGCUCCUGUGCUCCAACUCCAUUGAGUCCUGCAUGCAGCUCGGUGUUCCCCGGCCACAUCGUAAAAAGAUUUACAAGACUAUGUUAAACUGGCAGUAAAAACAAUUAACUUUAAUGGCACCUUGGGGAUCCUCCACUGGGCUCUGGAGUUCAGAGGUUCAAGGUUAAAGUGAAAAGAAGGCUGAGCAUGGAGACAACAGGAGACUUCAAGUCCCACUU
rnacentral:lncRNA from 10 species